rnacentral:lncRNA from 9 species
CUGAGCACAGCAUCCCCCAUGCAUGUCAGCGGAUGCAGGACACUGCCCUCCACCCAGUCCCCACCAAGAAGCAGCCAGGACAGGAGCUGGCCUUGAGCUAACAGGUGCCUGGGGACAGCGAGGCCGUGAGAAGCCUCCUCUCCAUCCAAAGGGGCCUCUCAAGUCCCUGCACAGUCCUGGGCACCAGCCUGCCAUGCCUUUUGUGAAAGGACUUCAGGGAGUUGCUGAAGGAGUCUCCUACGGGAAUGCUAAAUCACCCAGUCACCACUCACCUGGCUGUGUGGCUCCAGAAGGUGCUUUUGGGAAAAUCAUGCAGUUACCUACGUGUCCAUCAGCAGACACUGAGCAAAUAAAAGUAACCCCAGGAGUUCCUGCUGUGGCACAACAGGAUCAGCGGCGUUCGAUCACCAGGAUCGAGCACCAGGAUGCAAGUUCGAUCCCUGGCCUCGCACAGUGGGUUAAAGAUCUACCAGUGCCGCAGCUGCAGCAUAGGUUGCAACUGUGGCUCAAAUCCGAUCCCCGGCCUGGAAACUCCACAUGCUGCAGAGCAACCAAAAAAGAAAAAAAGAAAAAGGUAAUCCCAGGGGAGCCCCCUCCAGGGCUAUUGCCUUUAUGUCAGAGAAAAGGUUCCAGCAGGGUGUUCCAUAGCCUGGUUACCACUGUCUCCUUCCACAGCUGCUACCUUCUGCAAAGCCUGUCCCGGCACUCGAUGUAA